UGGCUCUCGCAUCGAUGAAGAACGCAGCGAAAUGCGAUAAGUAAUGUGAAUUGCAGAUUUCAGUGAAUCAUCGAAUCUUUGAACGCACCUUGCGCUCUUUGGUAUUCCGAAGAGCAUGCCUGUUUGAGUGUCAUUAAAUUCUCAACUCCUCAGUGGUUGUCAUGACCGCUGUUGAGAUUGGAUGUGAGGGUUUUGCUGGCUUUCACGAGUCGGCUCCCUUGAAAAUUAUUAGCGCAGCUUCUGCAAAUCGCUUGGUGUGAUAAUCUAUCUUGCCAAUUAGUGACGCGCAUGAAUGAAGUUUUGUGCUUCUAACCGUCUUCUCUGAGACAGUAUUUUUUGAACUUGACCUCAAAUCAGGUAGGACUACCCGCUGA
rnacentral:misc_RNA from 1 species